UGGGGAAUUUUGGACAAUGGGCGAAAGCCUGAUCCAGCAAUGCCGCGUGUGUGAAGAAGGCCUUCGGGUUGUAAAGCACUUUUGUCCGGAAAGAAAUCCUUGGCUCUAAUACAGUCGGGGGAUGACGGUACCGGAAGAAUAAGCACCGGCUAACUACGUGCCAGCAGCCGCGGUAAUACGUAGGGUGCAAGCGUUAAUCGGAAUUACUGGGCGUAAAGCGUGCGCAGGCGGUUUGCUAAGACCGAUGUGAAAUCCCCGGGCUCAACCUGGGAACUGCAUUGGUGACUGGCAGGCUAGAGUAUGGCAGAGGGGGGUAGAAUUCCACGUGUAGCAGUGAAUGCGUAGAGAUGUGGAGGAAUACCGAUGGCGAAGGCAGCCCCCUGGGCCAAUACUGACGCUCAUGCACGAAAGCGUGGGGAGCAAACAGGAUUAGAUACCCUGGUAGUCCACGCCCUAAACGAUGUCAACUAGUUGUUGGGGAUUCAUUUCCUUAGUAACGUAGCUAACGCGUGAAGUUGACCGCCUGGGGAGUACGGUCGCAAGAUUAAAACUCAAAGGAAUUGACGGGGUCAUAGCUGUUU
rnacentral:rRNA from 1 species